AGAGGCUGGCUGGAAAAUCCAGGCUGGGGUUCAGAUUUGGAAAAUACCAAAAGUGAAUGCUGCCCUGGAUUUUGCAAUGCUGCCUACUGGAAAUCCCACCUGCAGCUGCAGUGGCUUUUGGCAUUAUCAUGCACGACUAGAAGAAAUAUUCAACAGUUUGGAGCAAGCAGAAUAAAACACUGACAGCUCAGGACUCUGAAAAUUCGGUUUGCAGAGUAAUUUGACAGAAGGUUUGGACACCAUGCCCACUGUAAUCUCCGCUCAGGAGCUCAGCCGUGACCUUUCAGGUUCACAGGACACAGACAGCAGCUUGUCUGGAAAGGAGAGGCUUAUUCAGCACAAUGUGAUCCAGAUGUGCAGACAUCUCUCCAUGUAGACAUGGCUGAUAGAGCUGGGAUUUACAGGGCAUCUAUGAGGCCCAGACUGAAACCUGAAGAGGUGCAUGGUCUGGAAACCAGCAAAUCGUGACUCACCUCCACUCCACUUGUGAAAGGUUUCUCUAACGCACCCUGCUGAGCUUUUGGAAGUGCUCACAAUGUACACAGGAAAUUAAGUGACAAAGAAUAUGCUGUGAACUGCUCAUACCAAGCAAACUAGAAUGAAAUACAGUAUUUGCUGGGAGAAUAAUAAGCAUCCACAUGUGACUGCUGCAUGCUGACUAACAAUUUAACAAGUACUGGAAAAAGGAGAUUAACUAUGUUAUGUGCCUCUCUUGUCCAUAACUGCCAGCUCAUUACAUAGCAAAAUAGGUACCAUCUCAGCCAGCCUGAGACCUGUAAAAUCAAUACAACUCUUUAAAAGCAACUUAGAAACUCCUAGGCUAUGAACUCAAACCACAGCACUGGUGGUUGCCUACUUAAGGGGUAAUCCAGAGCUAAAACUUUUAAAAGAAGUCUGUCUGUGAAAGUAAAAAGCAUGAUACAGGUCUCAUUAUGGGAAAGCAAAGGUCUUUCCUUUCUCAUCAAACUCAGAUGGAUAAAAAUCAAUCUUCAGCAGGGCUGGUCCUGUAGCACUGAGGGACAGCUGUGAGGAUCUAAUAGAGCCUGUGGGCUGAGGGAAAGCAAGAAGAUGUACUCCUCCACCAAAAAGGAGAUAAAAAUCUUUCCAGCUACUUGUUUCAAUGUGCCAUUAAUACCACGGUGUUGCCUGGAUUCAGUCCAAGACAACCAGCAGUAACCUGGGUACAGUGUGGAUCUGGUGCUACCUUGUACUUGCAAUUUCAGCUAGUUAAAAAUGUGGGGUUUUCAGAAUUUAAUUCCUUUUAAUGGCCCUUGUGAAAACACACGUGAGUGGCUCCAUCUAUUUCAGCACAGCACGAGUGAUAGAUGCAGCAGUAAUAUUUCAUGGUAUCACAUGAGUAAUGGGAUGUUCCCUCCUGUCACUCUUGGUAUCCCCGACUCAGAUUUCCCUCACCCUGUAAUUUUUUGUCAGGUGUGAACAUGUGAGAGGCUCUGCAGUAGUGGUCCAAGCAACACUCAUUUUUUGGCAACAGAGAAAUAUUGGAGCACACACUGAUUAUUCUUUAUCUAGAUUUGGGCAUGGUUGCUAAGCAGAAUUAUGCUUUAUGUUUGGAUUUUUAGCAUGCUGAUAACAGGUCUUUAGGGGUCUCUUCUUUGAAUUCCCUACUAAAGUGCGUCAGGUAUGAAAAUCAGAAAAGAAUUCUGAUUUCAACAUUUUAAUUGAAGAUCCACAGAGCGUGUAUUUUAAUCCAUCUUUGCUCAUUCUUUUCUUGCUAUUGUCACAAUUCCCACAUUUCUUUUCCAAGUACUUUCAGAUGACCCACAGCUUCUCUUGUUUCAGCAAGAAGCCACUUACGCAUCUCAUGAGCAUCACAGAUUCUCACAGUGUUUGUUUAUCUGUGUGGUUUUCAGUGUCUCUUGAUCCUUUUGGCUGUCCAAAUGUUUGUUUGGAAUUAUUCAUAACAUUAGGGAGUCAAUCUGCUUUAUUCCAGUUCUAGGACAUAAAACUUCUCUGGUCAAGACCCCUUCAAGACUGGGAGCCGCUGGACUGGGAGCUGCAUUCAGACCAGAGUUCACCAAAGCACAGGGAUGCACCAAAGUUUCCUUGCUCCAUAAGUCCUACAGUUUAGGGAAAUUGUUAAAUUGGAAUGAGAAUUGUUAUCAAAUAAAAGAGACUACCAGUGAUGAAACCCAGAAGGGUUUCUUUAAAUGCAGUUCUAGCAGACUGAUAAUUCAAGCUUCUAAUUGUUCGCAAAACAAUAGGAAGUCUAUAAGCUGGAUAUUUGCCAGCAGGGGCCACUUCUGAAAACUCUUUGCUUUUUUCUCUUCAUCUGCUGCAUUGGGAUGAGGGACAGAGUUAUGUCAACACUUGGAGAUAAUCUUUUUGUAUGGGUUUACAUAAGAGAAUAAGGAAAAGUCUAAGAAAAUUGUUCCCUUUCAUAGGUGAUGUACUGAAGAAAAGCAAAAAUAUGGAAAGAUAAUCUCUGAGAAUAAUAAAACAAAUAAAGGAAAUAGACCUGAAAUGAAGGGCACAGAACCUGGAAAGGCAUUGCCCACACAGGGGCAGUUUAUGCUGUGCCAGUCCUGUGUGAAUGCACAGGUUUGUGGAGUGUUUCUCUUCAGGCAUCUGCGGGAGAAACAUCAGCAGCCAAUCUCACAAGGAGCAGACAUAACAAACGUUAUUAAACUUGAAUUCCAAGGAGCACCAGGGCAGAGUUUAAUCACUCCUGUAUUUCUGAUAAACAGGAGUGCUCUUAAUGGCUUUGGAGCUGGAUCUGACUCGCACAGUGUGCCUCCAGAGAGAGGAAGGACUGCCCCGUGCCCGCGGGGCUGUGUCCGUGAGUGCGGGACGGGGAGGGCAGUGGGGCAGGGCAGCAAUCGCUGCCGUCCUGCUUCUCCAGGUGCCCCAGGAAGAGAAUUUGGCAAAAGAAGAGUUCCCUGUUGGCUUAGUGAGCCACUGCUGGUGGCAGGGAUGGAGCAAGGACUGGGAUGGUGCUCGGGAGAGCCAGGAGGGCACAUUUGGGGCUGCUGGGCUGUGACACCAACAGCAACACCUGAGGUCCCAGCCCACGAGAUCUGCCCCAGACAGGUCAUUGCCACACACUGUUCUUCGAUUACUUUGUAAUCACUUGUGGGUUUUUUCCUGAUUUCAUGGUAAAAGAGUUAUUUUAACUCACUGUUUUCCCAGUUAUGACUCACUGUUGUUCUCUCAUGGCUUUCCCUAUUUGCAUUUUAGAGUUCUUGCUCUGAUUACAAUUUGAACCCUUGCAGAAGUGCAGUGUCUGUUUUGCCUGGGCUGUGGUAUUUCAGAGUGCUGCAGAUGUUCAGGUAUCCUCUGCUGACUUCAGUAAAUGUUCUGCGUGGCUUUCCUUGCCUAAAAACUGGAUAGAAUCAGUGCUCUCAGUGCUCUCUUUCUUUGCCUUCCCCACCUUGAAGCUCCAGCAGAUGAUGGUUAAAUUCUUGCAAACCUUUCAGUGUGGUAGCCCAAGGCACAGGACAGCAAAUGAAAAGGCCAAGAAAGUAUCUGUGAAUAGAUUUUCUUGUUUAAAUUUUCAGCCAAGAGCUGCACUGAAUUUUUGAAACUAUUUUUAAUAUUGUAAAGUUCUGUCAUAUUUUUGCCAUCCCAACAUUGUAAGUUGAUGUAUUUUAUUGG